rnacentral:rRNA from 1 species
UCUUGGUCAUUUAGAGGAAGUAAAAGUCGUAACAAGGUUUCCGUAGGUGANCCUGCGGAAGGAUCAUUAUUGACAUUAUAGGCAAAGGUUGUAGCUGGCCUCUCGGGGCAUGUGCACGCCUGAGCCCUUUAAUCCACACCCACCUGUGAACCAAUUGUAAGGGCCCCCUGAAAAGGGCCUUUACGUCUUAUUCAUCAACCCAUUGCAUGUCUCAGAAUGUAAACAUAUGUCCUCGCCUUAAAAAAGCGUUGAUAAACUUAUACAACUUUCAACAACGGAUCUCUUGGCUCUCGCAUCGAUGAAGAACGCAGCGAAAUGCGAUAAGUAAUGUGAAUUGCAGAUUUUCAGUGAAUCAUCGAAUCUUUGAACGCACCUUGCGCUCCUUGGUAUUCCGAGGAGCAUGCCUGUUUGAGUGUCAUUAAAUUCUCAACUCCGAUCGAUUUGUUUCGACCUCGGAGCUUGGACUUUGGAGCGUGCUGGCGUCGGUCGGCUCCUCUCAAAUGCAUCAGCGGAAUCUAACGUUUCGGACGUCAGUGUGAUAAUCACGUUGCGCUGUCGACCGAUCCUGAAAGCCCGCUCAUAAUGGUCUUCGGACAACUUCAUAUCAAAUUUGACCUCAAAUCAGGUAGGACUACCCGCUGAACUUAAGCAUAUCAAUAAGCGGAGGAAAAGAAACUAACAAGGAUUCCCCUAGUAACUGCGAGUGAAGCGGGAAAAGCUCAAAUUUAAAAUCUGGCGGUCUUGCGGCCGUCCGAGUUGUAAUCUGGAGAAGCGUCUAUCCGCGCUGGACCGUGUACAA